rnacentral:rRNA from 1 species
UUAAAUUGAAGAGUUUGAUCAUGGCUCAGAUUGAACGCUGGCGGCAGGCCUAACACAUGCAAGUCGAACGGUAACAGGAAGCAGCUUGCUGCUUCGCUGACGAGUGGCGGACGGGUGAGUAAUGUCUGGGAAACUGCCUGAUGGAGGGGGAUAACUACUGGAAACGGUGGCUAAUACCGCAUAACGUCGCAAGACCAAAGAGGGGGACCUUCGGGCCUCUUGCCAUCAGAUGUGCCCAGAUGGGAUUAGCUAGUUGGUGAGGUAACGGCUCACCAAGGCGACGAUCCCUAGCUGGUCUGAGAGGAUGACCAGCCACACUGGAACUGAGACACGGUCCAGACUCCUACGGGAGGCAGCAGUGGGGAAUAUUGCACAAUGGGCGCAAGCCUGAUGCAGCCAUGCCGCGUGUAUGAAGAAGGCCUUCGGGUUGUAAAGUACUUUCAGCGGGGAGGAAGGUGUUGUGGUUAAUAACCGCAGCAAUUGACGUUACCCGCAGAAGAAGCACCGGCUAACUCCGUGCCAGCAGCCGCGGUAAUACGGAGGGUGCAAGCGUUAAUCGGAAUUACUGGGCGUAAAGCGCACGCAGGCGGUCUGUCAAGUCGGAUGUGAAAUCCCCGGGCUCAACCUGGGAACUGCAUUCGAAACUGGCAGGCUUGAGUCUUGUAGAGGGGGGUAGAAUUCCAGGUGUAGCGGUGAAAUGCGUAGAGAUCUGGAGGAAUACCGGUGGCGAAGGCGGCCCCCUGGACAAAGACUGACGCUCAGGUGCGAAAGCGUGGGGAGCAAACAGGAUUAGAUACCCUGGUAGUCCACGCCGUAAACGAUGUCUACUUGGAGGUUGUGCCCUUGAGGCGUGGCUUCCGGAGCUAACGCGUUAAGUAGACCGCCUGGGGAGUACGGCCGCAAGGUUAAAACUCAAAUGAAUUGACGGGGGCCCGCACAAGCGGUGGAGCAUGUGGUUUAAUUCGAUGCAACGCGAAGAACCUUACCUGGUCUUGACAUCCACAGAACUUUCCAGAGAUGGAUUGGUGCCUUCGGGAACUGUGAGACAGGUGCUGCAUGGCUGUCGUCAGCUCGUGUUGUGAAAUGUUGGGUUAAGUCCCGCAACGAGCGCAACCCUUAUCCUUUGUUGCCAGCGAUUAGGUCGGGAACUCAAAGGAGACUGCCAGUGAUAAACUGGAGGAAGGUGGGGAUGACGUCAAGUCAUCAUGGCCCUUACGACCAGGGCUACACACGUGCUACAAUGGCGCAUACAAAGAGAAGCGACCUCGCGAGAGCAAGCGGACCUCAUAAAGUGCGUCGUAGUCCGGAUUGGAGUCUGCAACUCGACUCCAUGAAGUCGGAAUCGCUAGUAAUCGUGGAUCAGAAUGCCACGGUGAAUACGUUCCCGGGCCUUGUACACACCGCCCGUCACACCAUGGGAGUGGGUUGCAAAAGAAGUAGGUAGCUUAACCUUCGGGAGGGCGCUUACCACUUUGUGAUUCAUGACUGGGGUGAAGUCGUAACAAGGUAACCGUAGGGGAACCUGCGGUUGGAUCACCUCCUUACCUUAAAGA